rnacentral:rRNA from 1 species
UGGGGAAUAUUGGACAAUGGGCGAAAGCCUGAUCCAGCAAUGCCGCGUGAGUGAUGAAGGCCUUAGGGUUGUAAAGCUCUUUUACCAGGGAUGAUAAUGACAGUACCUGGAGAAUAAGCUCCGGCUAACUCCGUGCCAGCAGCCGCGGUAAUACGGAGGGAGCUAGCGUUGUUCGGAAUUACUGGGCGUAAAGCGCGCGUAGGCGGCUUUUCAAGUCAGGGGUGAAAUCCCGGGGCUCAACCCCGGAACUGCCCUUGAAACUGGAUGGCUAGAAUGCUGGAGAGGUGAGUGGAAUUCCGAGUGUAGAGGUGAAAUUCGUAGAUAUUCGGAAGAACACCAGUGGCGAAGGCGCUCUACUGGGCCAACACUGACACUGAUGGACGAAAGCUAGGGGAGCGAAAGGGAUUAGAUACCCCCGUAGUCC